GACGAACGCUGGCGGCGUGCUUAACACAUGCGAGUCGAACGGAAAGGCCCUGCUUGCCGGGUGCUCGAGUGGCGAACGGGUGAGUAACACGUGGGUGAUCUGCCCCUUAUUUUGGGAUAAGCCUGGGAAACUGGGUCUAAUACUGGAUAGGACCAUGCUGUAGGUGGUGUGGUGGAAAGAUUAGUUUCGGUAAGGGAUGAGCUCGCGGCCUAUCAGCUUGUUGGUGGGGUAAUGGCCUACCAAGGCGUCGACGGGUAGCCGGCCUGAGAGGGUGGACGGCCACAUUGGGACUGAGAUACGGCCCAGACUCCUACGGGAGGCAGCAGUGGGGAAUAUUGCACAAUGGGCGCAAGCCUGAUGCAGCGACGCCGCGUGGGGGAUGACGGCCUUCGGGUUGUAAACUCCUUUCAGCCAUGACGAAGCCCUUGUGGUGACGGUAGUGGUAGAAGAAGCACCGGCUAACUACGUG
rnacentral:rRNA from 1 species